UUUUCUCUCCAACUUCCCAUUUCAGCUUGCCUAGAUGCUGGAUGCUAUCUUGUUUGUCUUCUUCCAAAUUGCCUGUUGUGACGCGGACGGCGUACAGAGAUGGAGUCGAUCGAUCUCACCGGUCCCAAUCCGCCGCCUUCUCCUUCGCCGACAUGUACACCCUACACCUGCAGCGUCCCGCGGUCACCCUCUACCCGCUCGGAAACCCAGCGCCGCCGCCGCCGCGCCGCUGGUGCCGCUCACCACUGUGCCCGCUCCCCGUGAGCGCGGCCACCGCAGGGAGCAGGCUCGCUUAUAUCCCCCGCGCCUCCGCCGCCGCAAACCCGCAUCCCGACCCUCAGGAUGAGCCGGAGCCGCAGCCGAAGGGCGGGUUCUGGACCAGGUGGAUGGCGGAGAGCGCGGAGAUGAGGGCCAAGGUGGCCAAGCUCGGCCUGGCCGCCGUGCUGGCCUACGGGCUGUUCGACGCCGUCACCUACACGACGUUCUUCGUGCUGGCCUUCCUCGGCUACGAGAAGAGCACCGGCAAGAACCCGGCGGCCAAUCUCAAGGCCUUGCUGGGGAUAGUUAUCCUAAUGUGGACCGGUAACAAUGUUACUAGGCCAUUCCGAGUUGCUGGUGCAGCUGCUUUGGCACCGGCGAUCGACAAAGGGUUGAAGGGUAUUCAAGAGAAACUUAACCUUCCAAGCCAGAUGUAUGCUUUUGCACUCGUGGUUGGCUCCGUGGCUGCGGUAUGCUUCACAAUUUUUGGAUGCUUGAUCCUCUCGAAAUGGGGAAAGUGAUUUGUUGGAAUCCUGGCCAUCAAGCAUGAUUGGUAUGAAUAUUGGAUCCAACUAGUUUUCUUUGGACUUCGACUUGAUACUUUAGCGCAUCUGCAAGCGGUAUUUCUCUGCUUCACAAGAGAAAUGUUCUAAAGAUGGUUAGUCAGACACUCAUAGAACUUCCACUGAAGGAAAUUAAAAAUCCCCAAAGAUCACAUAACAAAAGGCAUUCAGUAGGAUUUACAUCCCAUUACAAAUAUACCAUUGUAGCUGUAAUAGACUAUGAUGAUUCUAUUGUAGUGCAUUAUGAGGACAAGCAGAAGGGCAAUUGCUAGUUACCCCGUGUUGUUUCCUCCGGCAGGAUUCCUUGGAGGCGCUCCGAUAGAAAAACUGAUGCCUUCCGCUGUAAAUUCUGAUAAAAUAAAGGAAGCACGAUCAGAAUGGAGACAAUCAAUUAUUCUAUGAUAAAGGAUAAAGGAAGCAGGUUCAAACUGGAUUAUGCGUGAUAUUUUUAUUUAGCAUGACAAAUGAUGUUUGCGUACUAUUCUUCGAAUGAAAUUCUUGACACUGAAAUUGAAAACCAGUUUGCAUGCCCAAAA